GUGGGGAAUAUUGGACAAUGGGCGCAAGCCUGAUCCAGCCAUGCCGCGUGUGUGAAGAAGGCCUUCGGGUUGUAAAGCACUUUUGUUGGGAAAGAAAUCCUGUCGGCUAAUACCCGGCGGGGAUGACGGUACCCAAAGAAUAAGCACCGGCUAACUUCGUGCCAGCAGCCGCGGUAAUACGAAGGGUGCAAGCGUUACUCGGAAUUACUGGGCGUAAAGCGUGCGUAGGUGGUUCGUUAAGUCAGAUGUGAAAGCCACGGGCUCAACCUGGGAAUUGCAUUUGAUACUGGCGGACUAGAGUGCGGUAGAGGAGAGUGGAAUUCCCGGUGUAGCAGUGAAAUGCGUAGAGAUCGGGAGGAACAUCAGUUGCGAAGGCGGCUCUCUGGACCAGCACUGACACUGAGGCACGAAAGCGUGGGGAGCAAACAGGAUUAGAUACCCAGGUAGUCC
rnacentral:rRNA from 1 species